rnacentral:rRNA from 1 species
AGUAACAUCCGGAAACGGGUAGCUAAUACCGCAUAGUUUUCUUGAUCGCAUGAUUGAGAAAGGAAAGACGGCCUUUGUGCUGUCGCUUAUGGAUGGACCCGCGGCGUAUUAGUUAGUUGGUGAGGUAACGGCUCACCAAGACGAUGAUACGUAGCCGACCUGAGAGGGUGAUCGGCCACAUUGGGACUGAGACACGGCCCAAACUCCUACGGGAGGCAGCAGUAGGGAAUCUUCCGCAAUGGACGAAAGUCUGACGGAGCAACGCCGCGUGAGUGAAAAGAAGGUUUUCGGAUCGUAAAACUCUGUUGUCAGAGAAGAACAAGUUGGAGAGUAACUGCUCCAGCCUUUGACGGUAUCUGACCAGAAAGCCACGGCUAACUACGUGCCAGCCGCCGC